UACGUAGAGAGCAAGCGUUAUCCGGAUUUAUUGGGUGUAAAGGGUGCGUAGACGGGAUAAUAAGUUAGUUGUGAAAUCCCUCGGCUCAACUGAGGAACUGCAACUAAAACUGUUAUUCUUGAGUGUUGGAGAGGAAAGCGGAAUUCCUAGUGUAGCGGUGAAAUGCGUAGAUAUUAGGAGGAACACCAGUGGCGAAGGCGGCUUUCUGGACAAUAACUGACGUUGAGGCACGAAAGUGUGGGGAGCAAACAGG
rnacentral:rRNA from 1 species